GACGAACGCUGGCGGCGUGCUUAACACAUGCAAGUCGAACGGAAAGGCCCUGCUUUUGUGGGGUGCUCGAGUGGCGAACGGGUGAGUAACACGUGAGUAACCUGCCCUUGACUUUGGGAUAACUUCAGGAAACUGGGGCUAAUACCGGAUAGGAGCUCCUGCUGCAUGGUGGGGGUUGGAAAGUUUCGGCGGUUGGGGAUGGACUCGCGGCUUAUCGGCUUGUUGGUGGGGUAGUGGCUUACCAAGGCUUUGACGGGUAGCCGGCCUGAGAGGGUGACCGGCCACAUUGGGACUGAGAUACGGCCCAGACUCCUACGGGAGGCAGCAGUGGGGAAUAUUGCACAAUGGGCGGAAGCCUGAUGCAGCAACGCCGCGUGCGGGAUGACGGCCUUCGGGUUGUAAACCGCUUUCGCCUGUGACGAAGCAUGAGUGACGGUAAUGGGUAAAGAAGCACCGGCUAACUACGUG
rnacentral:rRNA from 1 species